GAUGAACGCUGGCGGCGUGCCUAAUACAUGCAAGUCGAGCGAACGGACGAGAAGCUUGCUUCUCUGAUGUUAGCGGCGGACGGGUGAGUAACACGUGGAUAACCUACCUAUAAGACUGGGAUAACUUCGGGAAACCGGAGCUAAUACCGGAUAAUCUUUUGAACCGCAUGGUUCAAAAGUGAAAGACGGUCUUGCUGUCACUUAUAGAUGGAUCCUCGCUGCAUUAGCUAGUUGGUAAGGUAACGGCUUACCAAGGCAACGAAGCAUAGCCGACCUGAGAGGGUGGGCGGCCACACUGGAACUGAGACACGGUCCAGAGUCCUACGGGAGGCAGCAGUAGGGAAUCUUCCGCAAUGGGCGAAAGCCUGACGGAGCAACGCCGCGUGAGUGAUGAAGGUCUUCGGAUCGUAAAACUCUGUUAUUAGGGAAGAACAUAUGUGUAAGUAACUGUGCACAUCUUGACGGUACCUAAUCAGAAAGCCACGGCUAACUACGUG
rnacentral:rRNA from 1 species